rnacentral:rRNA from 1 species
CGUGUAGGCGGUGCGGUAAGUUGGGCGUGAAAUCCCCGGGCUUAACCCGGGGGGGUCGUUCAAGACUGCCGUGCUAGGGUGCGGGAGAGGGCAGUGGAGUUCCCGGUGUAGCGGUGAAAUGCGUAGAUAUCGGGAGGAACACCUGCGGCGAAGGCGGCUGCCUGGACCGUAACCGACGCUGAGGCGCGAAAGCUAGGGGAGCAAACAGGAUUAGAUACCCUGGUAGUCCUAGCCCUAAACGAUGAGCACUGGGUGUAGCCCCUCACGGGGCUGUGCCGAAGCUAACGCAUUAAGUGCUCCGCCUGGGGAGUACGGUCGCAAGGCUGAA